UUGGCAAAUAAGAGUUAACCUUAGUAUUGAUGCUCUUAUGUUUUUUCUCUAUUUUUCUAUCUUUAUCUCUCUUCUCUUGAACACUUUAUCUACUCCUCAAGGGUUCCAUUUCAUCAAUACACCUUCCACCAAUUUGCUCCUCGGAGAGCCUACUUUAGCCAACUAAAUCUUAGUUCUUCCAUGAAAUGAAGUGAUUUCAAGUUUCCUUAAAGCUGGGUUUCUGGUAGGUUAUGCCAGACCGGUGGGAGUUUGUCAACGAUCAACGCCGUAAAAUAUCCCCGGCUCCGGCGAUUAAUUCCUCGAAAGUUGUAGCGGCAUGUCCGGCGGCUAUUUUGGCUGCGGUAGCGGUAGCAGCGCCACCUUCUGUGAUGGUAAGGGCAGUAUCACCGGCAAACUCCGGUGACGAGCAAGUGCACUCGUCAGAUUCCUCCCCUGCUCCCGGUGUCGUAACGGUACAACAAGUAGCAAGUUGUGCGAUGACGACAGAGAUAUGGAAGAGAAUGAGAGGUUUAGAAGUGAGCAUUUCACAUUAAUGCAGGAAUUGAAUCAAUUGAGAGGAUUAUUCUUGGCGAUGAUGUCUUUGGUGUGUGUUUGCAGAUUGAUUGAAGAGUAUGAAGAUACUAGAGACCUUCAAUCGCCAUUCAUGAUUUUACAUUUUUAUACUAAUAUAAAAUAUUUUAUGUUGUUUAAUGAGAUUAUUAUGAUUUGCAAAUGGCAUAGUAACUAAUUUCAGGAUAUACUUGUAUUACAAUUUUUUCAAAUUUUGUUAUCUUCUCUGGGACUUGUCUACUUUAUAAUGGGAAUGUGAGAUAAAUAUCAAAGCUUCU